CGGGGUGAGUAAUGUCUGGGAAACUGCCUGAUGGAGGGGGGUAACUACUGGAAACGGUAGCUAAUACCGCAUAACGUCGCAAGACCAAAGAGGGGGACCUUCGGGCCUCUUGCCAUCGGAUGUGCCCAGAUGGGAUUAGCUAGUAGAUGGGGUAACGGCUCACCUAGGCGACGAUCCCUAGCUGGUCUGAGAGGAUGACCAGCCACACUGGAACUGAGACACGGUCCAG
rnacentral:rRNA from 1 species